rnacentral:rRNA from 1 species
AACGAACGCUGGCGGCAUGCCUAACACAUGCAAGUCGAACGAGACCUUCGGGUCUAGUGGCGCACGGGUGCGUAACGCGUGGGAACCUGCCCUUAGGUUCGGAAUAACUCCCCGAAAGGGAUGCUAAUACCGGAUAAUGUCUUCGGACCAAAGAUUUAUCGCCUUUGGAUGGGCCCGCGUUGGAUUAGCUAGUUGGUAGGGUAAAAGCCUACCAAGGCGACGAUCCAUAGCUGGUCUGAGAGGAUGAUCAGCCACACUGGGACUGAGACACGGCCCAGACCCCUACGGGAGGCAGCAGUGGGGAAUAUUGGACAAUGGGCGAAAGCCUGAUCCAGCAAUGCCGCGUGAGUGAUGAAGGCCUUAGGGUUGUAAAGCUCUUUUACCCGGGAUGAUAAUGACAGUACCGGGAGAAUAAGCUCCGGCUAACUCCGUG